rnacentral:rRNA from 1 species
ACGUAGGUGGCGAGCGUUGUCCGGAAUUACUGGGCGUAAAGGGCGCGUAGGCGGAUUGUUAAGUUGGAUGUGAAAUCUCCUGGCUCAACUGGGAGGGGACAUCCAAAACUGGCAAUCUAGAGUGCAGGAGAGGAAAGUAGAAUUCCCAGUGUAGCGGUGAAAUGCGUAGAUAUUGGGAGGAAUACCGGUGGCGAAGGCGGCUUUCUGGACUGUAACUGACGCUGAGGCGCGAAAGCUGGGGGAGCGAACAG